AAAACAUGUCCUUUAGUUUAUUUAUUUAAGGUCUAACCUGCCCAAUGAAUAAUUUGAUGGCCGCGGUAUUUUAACUGUGCUAAGGUAGCAUAAUCAUUUGUCUUUUAAUUAAGGGCUGGAAUGAAAGGUUGGACGAGGGAAUAACUUUCUUUAAUUUAAUGGAAUAAUUUAAUUUUUUUGUUAAAAAGCAAAAAUGUUUUUAAGGGACGAGAAGACCCUAUAGAUCUUUAUAUUAAUAAUGAUUAAGUAAUUUAGGGGUAUUAUAUACUUAAUUAUUAAAAAUAUUUGGUUGGGGUGACUGUAGAAUAAUAAUAACUUCUAUUUUUAAUAAUCAUUGAUUUAUGUUUAAUUGAUCCAAUAAUAUUGAUUAUAAGAUUAAGUUACCUUAGGGAUAACAGCGUAAUUUUUUUGAAGAGUUCAUAUUGAUAAAAAAGUUUGCGACCUCGAUGUUGGAUUAAAAUAAGUAAUUGGCGCAGUAGUCUUUUUACUAGGUCUGUUCGACCUUUAAUUUUUUACAUGAUCUGA
rnacentral:rRNA from 1 species